CUGGUUGAUCCUGCCAGACCCGACUGCUAUCGGAUUGGGACUAAGCCAUGCGAGUCAACUCCGCAAGGGGUGGCGCACGGCUCAGUAACACGUAGUCAACCUACCCUGGGGACGGGGAUAACCUCGGGAAACUGAGGCUAAACCCCGAUGGGCCACGGCUCCUGGAAUGGGCUAUGGCUGAAAUCUACAUGGCCCCAGGAUGGGACUGCGGCCGAUCAGGUUGUUGGUGGGGUAAUGGCCCACCAAGCCUAUAACCGGUGCGGGCUCUGAGAGGAGGAGCCCGGAGAUGGGCACUGAGACAAGGGCCCAGGUCCUAUGGGGCGCAGCAGGCGCGAAACCUCCGCAAUGGGCGAAAGCCCGACGGGGUCAGUCCGAGUGGUUCCCGCUGAGGGAACCUUUUGCCAGCUGUAAACAGGCUGGCGAAUAAGGGGUGGGCAAGUUUGGUGUCAGCCGCCGCGGUAAUACCAGCACCCCGAGUGGUCGGGACGAUUAUUGGGCCUAAAGCAUCCGUAGCCGGCCCAGUAAGUCCUCCGUUAAAUCCAACGGCUCAACCGUUGGGCUGCGGGGGAUACUGCUGGGCUAGGGGACGGGAGAGGCGAGGGGUAUUCCCGGGGUAGGGGUAAAAUCCACUGAUCCCGGGAGGACCACCAGUGGCGAAGGCGCCUCGCUAGAACGUGCCCGACGGUGAGGGAUGAAAGCUGGGGGAGCGAACCGGAUUAGAUACCCGGGUAGUCCCAGCCGUAAACGAUGUAGGCUCGGUGUUGGGCUGCCUCAGUGGCAGCCCAGUGCCGCAGGGAAGCCGUUAAGCCUACCGCCUGGGGAGUACGGCCGCAAGGCUGAAACUUAAAGGAAUUGGCGGGGGAGCACCAC
rnacentral:rRNA from 1 species